rnacentral:misc_RNA from 1 species
UCAACUUCAAGUACCACAACUAGCUCUGCCAACGCCCCGAUAUCUAACGGAAGCGGUAAGCUUCACGAGUGCUCCAUCUGCCACAAGUCUUUCCCAACUGGACAAGCCUUGGGCGGACACAAGAGGUGUCACUAUGAAGGCGGCGCAGGAGGGGCCGAAAAGAGCGGGAUGACUUCAACUUCUGAAGGUGUCGGGUCAACCAACACA